rnacentral:tRNA from 1 species
AGUUUUUUCCCGGGGACAAUCUGUCUUGAAAAUAGAUUAGAAGUGUUCAACUCACUUAAAAACUU